rnacentral:lncRNA from 1 species
GGGCGCGAGCGCGGCGCCGGGGGCGGGCUGGGGCGCGGGGCCCGGGGCUGGCCGCUUGCCAGCGCUCCCUCCCUAGCAUGCGCACGGAGGCGGCGGGCGGCGCGGCGCGGAGGCCCCAGAAGCCGCGAAGCCAAGCAGCGGCACCUGCCUGCCGAGGUACGUGGCGCAGCCCCCAGUCAGCAGAGCGGACCUCGGGGAACCCAGGCAGCAGCGAUCCGCCUUUGCCCACUCAUACCCCAGGCCCAGCAGCUCCUCCCCAGCCCUGAGACGCCGGACGCGCCUGCGAGGGGACGCCGGCGGAGGGUCGCGACCCCGGGCCGCCUAUAUGGGCGCCCCCGGCGCAGCCUGUCGAGGUGUGAACGCGGUGCUGUGGCAAUGCCAAAUGAGUUCACCUCUGCAAAGCUGAGAAGUGAUUGCUCAAGGACCUCCCUGCAAUGGUACACCCAGACCCAGCACAAGAUGAGAAGACCCAGCUUGUUAUUAAAAGACAUCCUCAAAGAGCUCAUAGAAACACUCAGGAAGUCUUUCAGAAGGAAUGUCGUCCUGGGCACGCGAAGAAAACUAUGGAUCUGUUAUUUAAGGGCAAGUACAGCAUGGACUUGGAGCCUUUCGUGCAGAAGAUCCCCACAGCCAGUGAAGCUGAGCUCAAGUAUGACCCGCCUUUUGGAUUCCGGAAGUUCUCCAGUAAAGUCCAGAGCCUCUUGGAUAUGCUGCCUGAGCACGACUUUCCUGAACACUUGAGAGCCAAGCACUGCAAGCGCU